rnacentral:rRNA from 1 species
UUGUGGUUAAAAAGCUCGUAGUUGGAUCUCAACAGCCUUGAAAGCGGUUAACUUUGUAGUUUUACUGCUUUAUAGGCUGUGCUUUUGCUGGAGGUUUAGGGGUGCUCUUGAUCGAGUGUCUCUGGAUGCCAGCAGGUUUACUUUGAAAAAAUUAGAGUGCUCAAAGCAGGCUAAAAUGCCUGAAUAUUCGUGCAUGGAAUAAUAGAAUAGGAUGUCGAUCCUAUUUUGUUGGUUUUCGGGACUCGACAUAAUGAUAAAUAGGGACAGUCGGGGGCAUUUGUAUUCAAACGACAGAGGGUGAAAAUUCCUUGGGAACCGGUUUGAAAGAACAAACCUAACUGGCGAAAAGCAUUUUGCCACGAAUGUUUUCAUUAUCAAGAACGAAAGUUAGAGGUUCGAAGGCGAUUAGAUACCGCCCUAGUUCUAACCAUAAACGAUGCCAGCUAGCGAUCUGCCUGCGUUUUUACUGUAGACUGGGCAGGAAGCUUCCGGGAAACCAAAGCAUUUGGG